rnacentral:lncRNA from 1 species
AGAAUCAAAAUCGCUUGAUGAAGCAAAACACAUGUAUGAGUAGUAGCACAUAAAUAAACACAAAGAACAAAACGAUUGUUUGUUUAAUCUCUCCCUCAUUCUUCAGGUAAAUCAAGAAGUGCAGCCAUUGGUAUUUUAGCAUCGAUUUGAAAGCCAUCUCCUUCAUCCAUGUCUGUAUCUUUGUCCCUCUUCGCAAAAUCUAGUUAUAUCAAGGAAGUUGGU